rnacentral:rRNA from 1 species
UACGGAAGGGGGCUAGCGUUGCUCGGAAUGACUGGGCGUAAAGGGCGCGUAGGCGGCUUGCACCGUCAAGACUGUGGAAAUUCCUGGGCUUAACCUGGGGGCUGCAUUUGGAUACGUGGUGGGCUUGAGUGCGGAAGAGGGUCGUGGAAUUCCCAGUGUAGAGGUAGAAAUUCGUAGAUAUUGGGAAGAACACCGGUGGCGAAGGCGGCGACCUGGUCCGUGACUGACGCUGAGGCGCGAGAGCGUGGGGAGCGAACGGG